CCUACGGGAGGCAGCAGUGAGGAAUAUUGGUCAAUGGGCGCGAGCCUGAACCAGCCAAGUCGCGUGAGGGAAGACGGCCCUACGGGUUGUAAACCUCUUUUGCCGGGGAGCAACGGGCGCCACGUGUGGCGCCACUGAGAGUACCCGGAGAAAAAGCAUCGGCUAACUCCGUGCCAGCAGCCGCGGUAAUACGGAGGAUGCGAGCGUUAUCCGGAUUUAUUGGGGUUAAAGGGUUCGUAGGCGGAGCGUUAAGUCAGUGGUCAAAUUGAGGGGCUCAACCCCGUACCGCCAUUGAAACUGGCGCUCUUGAGUGGAAGAGAAGUAUGCGGAAUGUAUGGUGUAGCGGUGAAAUGCUUAGAGAUCAUACAGAACACCGAUUGCGAAGGCAGCUUACCAAGCUACUUCUGACGUUGAGGCACGAAAGCGUGGGGAGCAAACAGGAUUAGAUACCCUAGUAGUC
rnacentral:rRNA from 1 species